AACGAACGCUGGCGGCAGGCUUAACACAUGCAAGUCGAACGCAUCCUUCGGGGUGAGUGGCAGACGGGUGAGUAACGCGUGGGAACGUGCCCUUCAGUUCGGGAUAACCCAGGGAACCUUGGGCUAAUACCGGAUACGUGCGAGAGCAGAAGGAUUUAUCGCUGAAGGAUCGGCCCGCGUCUGAUUAGCUAGUUGGUGGGGUAAUGGCCCACCAAGGCGACGAUCAGUAGCUGGUCUGAGAGGAUGAUCAGCCACAUUGGGGCUGAGACACGGCCCAAACUCCUACGGGAGGCAGCAGUGGGGAAUAUUGGACAAUGGGCGCAAGCCUGAUCCAGCCAUGCCGCGUGAGUGAUGAAGGCCUUAGGGUUGUAAAGCUCUUUCGUCCGGGACGAUAAUGACGGUACCGGAAGAAGAAGCCCCGGCUAACUUCGUGCCAGCAGCCGCAGUAACAC
rnacentral:rRNA from 1 species